CUGGGUAGCUGUUUGAUUAGCUGUUCAGGAGUCUUAUGGUUUGGGGUAGAAGCUGUUUCGGACCUAGACUUGGCGCUCAGGUACCGCUUGCCGUGCGGUAGCAGAGAGAACAGUCUAUGACUAGGGUGGCUGGAGUCUUUUAGAAUUGUAGGGCCUUCCUCUGACACCGCCUGGUAUAGAGGUCCUAGAUGGCAGGAAGCUUGGCCCCGGUGAUGUACUGGGCCAUACGCACUACCCUCUGUAGUGCCUAGUGAUCGGAGGCUGAGUAGUUGCCACACCAGGCAGUGAUGCAACCCGUCAGGAUGCUUUCGAUGGUGCAGCUGUAAAACCUUUUGAGGAUCUGAGGACCCACUCCAAAUCUUUUCAGUCUCCUGAGGGGAAUAGGUUUUGUCGUGCCCUCUUCACAACUGUCUUGGUGUGCUUGGACCAUGUUAGUUUGUUGGUGAUGUGACCACCAAGGAACUUGAAGCUCUCAACCUGCUCCACUGCAGCCCCAUCGAUGAGAAUGGGGGCAUGCUCGGUCCUCCUUUUCCUGUAGUCCACAAUCAUCUCCUUUGUCUUGAUCACGUUUAGGGAGUGGUUGUUGUCCUUGAACCACAAGUUCAGUUCCUCCCUAUAGGAUGUCUCAUCGUUGUCGGUGAUCAGGCCUACUACUGUUGUGUCAUCAGCAAACGUAAUGAUGGUGUUGGAGUCGUGCCGCCGUGCAGUCAUGAGUGAACAGGAGGGGACUGAGAACGCAACUCCGAUGGGCCCCUAUGUUGUGGAUCAGCGUGGUGGAUGUGUUGCUACCUACCCUUACCACCUGGGGGCGGCCCGUCAGGAAGUCCAGGAUCCAGUUGCAGAGGGAGGUGUUUAGUCCCAGGGUCCUUAGCUUAGUGAUGAGCUUUGAGGGCACUAUGGUGUAGUCAAUGAAUAGCAUUCUCACAUAGGUGUUAUUUUUGUCCAGGUGGGAACGGGCAGUGUGGAGUGCAAUAUAAAUUCCAUUAUCUGUGGAUCUGUUGGUGCGGAGUGCAAAUUGGAGUGGGUCAAGGGUUUCUGGGAUAAUGGUGUUGAUGUGAGCAAUGACCAGCCGUUCAAAGCAUUUCAUGGCUCAGGCGUGAGUGCAGAUUAUCUUAGUGUUCUUGGGCACAGGGACUAUGGUGGUCUGCUUGAAUCAUGUUGGUAUUACAGACUCAGACAGGGAGAGGUUGAAAAUGUCAAUGAAGACACUUGCAGUUGGUCAGUGCAUGCUCAGAGUACACGUCCCGGUAAUCCGUCUGGCCCAGCGGCCUUGUGAAUGUUGACCUGUUUAAAGGUCUUACUCACAUCGGCUGCGGAGAGCGUGAUCACAGUCGUUUUACUUGCCUCGAAGCGAGCAUAGAAGUUAUUUAGCGCGUCUGGUAGCAGCUCUAUACUUUAUCUCAGUGUGAAUGUUGCCUGUAAUCAAUGGCUUCUGGUUGGGAUAUGCACGUACAGUCACUGUGCGGACGACGUCCUCGAUGCACUUAUUGAUAUGUGGUGCAUCUGAUGUGGUGUACUCCUCAAUGUCAUCGGAAGAAUCCCGGAACAUGUUCCAGUCUGUGAUAGCAAAACAGUCCUGUAGUUUAGCAUCUGCUUUCAUUUGACCACUUUUUUAUAGACUGAGUCACUGGUGCUUCCUGCUUUAAUUGUUGCUUGUAAGCAGGAAUCAGGAGUAUAGAGUUAUGGUCAUAUUUACCAAAAUUGAGGGUGAGGGAGAGCUUUGUACGUGUCUCUGUGUGUGGAAUUAAGGUGGUCUAGAAUGUUUUUCCCCCUCUGGUUGCACAUUUAACAUGCUGAUAGAAAUGAGGUAAAACUGAUUUAAGUUUCCCUGCAUUAAGGUCCCCGGCCACUAGGAGCUUCGCCUCUGGAUGAGCGUUUUCCUGUUUGCUUAUAGCGGAAUACAGCUCGUUGAGUGAGUGCUCUUUUAGUGCCAGCCUCGGUCUGUGGUGAUAGGUAGACAGCUAUGAAAAAUACAGAUGAAAACUCUCUAGGUAGAUAGUGUGGUCUACAGCUUAUCAUUAGAUACUCUACCUCAGGCAAGAAACACCCUGAGACUUCCUUAGAUAUCGUGCACCAGCUAUUGUUAACAAAUAUGAAUAGGCCCCUGACCCGUGUCUUACCAGAGACGGCUGUUUUGUCCUCCAAUAGUCAUUUACAACAUUAACAAUGUCUACACUGUAUUUCUGAUCAAUUCGAUGUUAUUUAAUGGACAAAAAAUGUGCUUUUCUUUCAAAAACAAAGACAUUUCUAAGUAACCCCAAACUUUUGAACUGAAGUGUACUUUUCCUUUUUCCACGAAUCACGAGGAUCUGGGCCUGGUCGGGUGUAUGUAGUAUAUCCCUCGUGUCCAACUAAUUGAAGAAGAACUCCUCAUCUAAUUUGAGCUUUGAUGUCAGCUGGAUGCUGUACCACCAACUGUAGAAAUGUGAAAAUAUGGGACAGCUUCGAUGCCUCUUCUUGACCACACUGCACCCCAGCUGGGACGUUUGGGGUGAGAUACUCCUGCUGCCCUGGCCCAAACAGACACUAGGACAACUGGACACUCCUCUCCAAGAUCCUGAUGUUCUGUCCCAUCCGUCCUCACAUACUACUAUGUUUUCAUUUCUACAUAUCUAGAGUUCGGGACAAUUUGGGGGAAAACUUGGGAAUGCUAUUAGGACAGAUGGAUGGCAUUCCCAAAGACUGCCACAGCUAAAUGGAUGAGAGCUAGACUGGAUACCGAAUAUGAGCUCCCUGCCAACCACCAAGACAUGACCUACCCCCCAGAGAGGGAAAGAUGCAGGGGAAGAAGUGAAAAGAAGGAGAGAAGAAGAGGAACUCUCCUCUCUGUUUACAGAUUAAUCUCAUCAGUCUGGGGUCCACUAUCUCUCUCUCGUUCUCUCUAUUUAUCUAUUUUUAUCUCUCUUUCUCUCGCUCUCUCCUCUUCCUCCCUCUGCCUCUACCCCUUCUCUCUUAAUCUCUCUCAAUCUCUCUCUCUUAUUAUCUCUUUAUCCCUCUCUUUAUCUCUCUCUUUAUCUCUCUCUUUAUCUCUCUCUCUCUCCUGUUCCUCUUUCUGCCUCAGCCUCUCCCCUCUCUCUUAAUCUCUAUAUCUUCACCUUCACUUUCACUUUCUUCUUCUCUUUCCUCUCUCCCCUGCUAUCUCGCUCUCUCCCAACACCCCCUUUCUCCUUCCACCCCCCUCUCCCUCCCUCCCCCUCCUUCCCACCCUACCUCCAGCAGCCUCCACAGAUAUUCUUCAUCUUCUUCUGUGUACUGAGACAGUAGUAAUCUAAUGUUCUUCCCCUCGUCUGCAGCCACAAAUCUAGAUGAUAAGAUUAUCCUAUCCUCUCCCAGUCAUCAUCUCAAACUUUUGUUGACCAAUUUCAUUAAACAGAGUGAAAAAGCUGAAGUUUGUGUUAAAGGGAAAGUUCCGCAGAAUUGCAUAUUUAUAUAUGUGUUUCCUCACCUUGAAAACAGUUUCUCAAAUAUCUAAUUUUGCUGAACUAUCCCUUUUUGAGAAGUUCCUAGGCAAUUACCCUCCACCACCAACAUGCUGUGUCUUAUUACAAAACUACAAAAUGGCCGCCAAUGUUAGCUUGUUGGGUAACGUUGUAGUUCUAACCAGAUACAGUGUUACGGUGUUAGCCUAGUUUUCUUUUUUGUAAAAUCUUGCUCCCUUCCGAGCACCUAUAUUUCCAGCUAGGGAGGUGAGUAUACAUUCUCCAUGUUGUUUUAUACAAGAAAGGUAAAGUCAAAGUACAUAGUAGUUUAUUGGGAUUAGUUUUAUAUAUAUAUAUAUUAUAUAUAAUGAUUAUUAUUUUUGACUGGUAUUAGAACAAUUAUAUGAAGAUAUCUAUGUAUACAAAAUAAUAAAGAUU